UAAUACGGAGGGUGCAAGCGUUAAUCGGAAUUACUGGGCGUAAAGGGCGCGUAGGUGGCUAUUUAAGUUUGCUGUGAAAUCCCUGGGCUUAACCUAGGGUUGUCAGUGAAUACUGGGUAGCUAGAGUACAAUAGAGGGUAGUGGAAUUUCCGGUGUAGCGGUGAAAUGCGUAGAUAUCGGAAGGAACACCAGUGGCGAAGGCGACUACCUGGAUUGAUACUGACACUGAGGCGCGAAAGCGUGGGGAGCAAACAGGAUUAGAUACCCUGGUAGUCCACGCUGUAAACGAUGUCAACUAGCUGUUAGUGCAUGCAAAUGUAUUAGUGGCGCAGCAAACGCGAUAAGUUGACCGCCUGGGGAGUACGGUCGCAAGAUUA
rnacentral:rRNA from 1 species